AGCCAACAAAAACAUACACUGGGGAAAGGACACGUUUUUCAAUAAAGUGCUGGGAAAGAAAAAUUGAAUCACCAUAUGCAAAAGAAUGAAACUAGACCCACAUUUCUCACCAUAUAUACAAGAAUCGACUCAAGGUGGAUUACAUAUUUAAUUGUAAGACAUGGAACUAUGAAAAUACUAGAAGGACACUAAGAAGGCUGAGUCUGAAAAGAGUCAGGGAAGGGAGAUAGGGGUGGGGCCAUUUUAUAGGAUUUGGGUAGGUAAAGGAAAAUUACAGUCAAAGGGGGUUGUUCUCUGGUUGAAAUAUGUAAUGUGUAACUAGUUAAUGGAAAUGACAUGAAAUAUUACUACUUGAAUUUCUAGAAUAGCUUUUUCUAAAAGGAUUCUUCAGUGAAAUCUUUGAAACAAAUAAAAUUAGAAGUAAAAUAUUAUUAAAAUAGUGUAAAAUAUGUCUUUUUUUAAGUGACUUUUAGGCAUAGACUCAAGGAAAUGAGAUAUUUAAUAUAGAAUUUUUAUUUUACUAAUAUUUUUUGAUUUUUUAAAACAAUCAGCUUCUUCACUUAAUCAUGGUUAGCUAACGAUUAAUUAAAAGCAGAUGAACAAUAUGGCAAAUAAUUGAUCUCAACAGAAAAAUAAAACAAAUCCAUAGAAGUCACGUUUUUCUUUUGUGAAAGCCUUUGUA
rnacentral:lncRNA from 10 species